rnacentral:rRNA from 1 species
AUUGAACGCUGGCGACAUGCCUUACACAUGCAAGUCGAACGGUAACGGGCCUUCGGGUGCCGACGAGUGGCGAACGGGUGAGUAAUGUAUCGGAACGUACCUUUCAGUGGGGGAUAACGUAGCGAAAGUUACGCUAAUACCGCAUAUUCUGUGAGCAGGAAAGCAGGGGAUCGCAAGACCUUGCGCUGAUUGAGCGGCCGAUAUCAGAUUAGCUAGUUGGUGAGGUAAAGGCUCACCAAGGCGACGAUCUGUAGCGGGUCUGAGAGGAUGAUCCGCCACACUGGAUCUGAGACACGGUCCAGACUCCUACGGGAGGCAGCAGUGGGGAAUUUUGGACAAUGGGGGCAACCCUGAUCCAGCCAUGCCGCGUGAGUGAAGAAGGCCUUCGGGUUGUAAAGCUCUUUCGGCCGGGAAGAAAUCGUAUGGGUUAAUACCCUGUGCGGAUGACGGUACCGGCAUAAGAAGCACCGGCUAACUACGUGCCAGCCGCCGCCGUAA